GGAGAGAUGUCCGAGUGGUCGAAGGAGCACGCCUGGAAAGCGUGUAUAGGGGCAACUCUAUCGGGGGUUCAAAUCCCCCUCUCUCCGCCA
rnacentral:tRNA from 2 species